rnacentral:lncRNA from 1 species
UUGGAAAAAAAAAGAAAGAAAAGAAAAAGAAGAAAAAGAAGAAAAAAAUUGUCAAGCCCCCGAACUGAAGGUUAUGAGCGGCCCGUCAGCAGCCCACAUGUAACCGAACUGUCGUGUUUCAUGGCUUUUUGCCACUCCAGAUGUCAAUCAAAGCCCGGAAUGUCAAGCUUUGCCCCCGCGAUAUCGCUAAUAGGAUCCUCUCUCUUUAAAGUAUUGUUGAAAAAAAAGCGGGGAGAAAAAUGAAGAAAAAAAUGAAUAGUUUGCAAAAAUUGGACUUCCUCCCCCCCUUUCCUGGUAGGUAUUUUGUCUCUCCCUCUCUCGCGCGCGCUCGCUCGCUCGCUCUCACUCGCGCUCGCUCUCUCUCGCUCGCUCUCUCUCGCUCUCUUUCUCUCUCUGGGAGAUGAGUGAGUGUCAGUAGGUGUUGGCAGGUUGGCUGCUGCCUGGCUUAUAGACGAGCCUCAGUUUGGCGGCGCGGGUCGGCGGCGGGAGAACGAAAUGACGGAACCCGGAAGUCGUGGUGGCCAUAGCCCGUCGCGCGGCGGAGACACAUCCCGGGAGCGGGGAGCGGGAGCGAGGAGGAGCGCGCGGCGAGGAGCCUCUGAUAUGCAGCGAGUGCGAUCCGACGUCCCCGGCCGGGGGGAGGCGGGGGCCGGGGGGAGGGGAGGCUGGAGCCGCGCGGACCGAGCAAAUCAGAGAGCCUGCUGCUCCGCGGGGACGGCGGGGGAGGAGGGAGGGGAGGGGGCCGGAGGGCGCGCGGGUGUGCGUACGCGGGCGCGCGCGCGAGCGAAUGGGGAGCGAGGAAGAGGGAGAGGGGGAGAGAGAGAGAGAGACAGAGAGACAGAGAAAGAAGAGGACAGGGAGAGCGCAGAGAGGAAAACUGCAGAAAACCACAGGGAAACUCCAGAAGAGACCAGCUUAACUCAGAGCAGACUCCCUCCCAGCGGUGCAGACAAGGGCCACCCGAAGAGGCUCUGGGGGCCGCAGCGGAAUCGGGAGGGAGUCGUGGGGUGUUUGGUGUCCGACGUAGCCAAGGGGGUGUGUAUGCGUGUGCGCGCGCGCGCGACUGGUGUGCGCCUCCAAAGUGGGUCUCAGCGAGCUGGAGGACACGAGCAGGGAAGACACACGGGAGGGAGAAAACAAGAGAGGGAAAGAGAAGAUGC